rnacentral:lncRNA from 1 species
UGCACACUACCCUCUAAGUUUUGUUGAAUUGCACAGAGCUGCACGGCUGGCUGCUGGAGGAGGAGGCUUGGAACGGGAACAGAGGGCAAGCUAAGUUCAGAUCCACACUGCUAAGCUGUGGGAACAUCUUGGGCAACUGAGGUAAGCCAAGGGCAUCACACCAGGGCGAUGUAGGGGCUGGCGAGGCUGGGAGGGGUGGGAGCUGAUGGGAAAGAAAAGCCACCAAAGGGAAGCUAAAGAGGUGAUUGUCAGCUUUAAAAACAGUGCUGAAGGAGAGGCCUGCAGAGAACAGCUCCCGGGAAUGCAGCCGGGAGUGUCAGCAGAGACUGGUGGCUUCCCAGCAGCCCAAAGCCCCUGGCAGGAAGACUAAUGGGGCAUGUGGCUCAGGUGUGCACGGCAAGCAUGUGGUAGCAGAAAGCUAUGCUGGUAGCAUGUCAGAGGACGCAAUCUGCUGCUCUGCACUCAUGAAGUAAGAGGGUGCACUGGAGUUCCAGAAGCCCCAUGGCAAGAGGGACUUUAGUACCAGCCACCAAAGUAGUGACUAAAACUGUCCUGGGUUCACUGCCCUUCUGGUUAUAACUGCUGUGCCAACGCCAACGGUGCUUGCAAUGCACAGAGGCCCUUCUGACUUGUAUUGCACAUCAAGAGACAGUCAAUUUCAUAAAAAUUUCCAUAUGGGAACUGGGGAGAUGGCUCUCAGGGUAAGACUGUCUGUUGCACAAACUUGGCAGCCUGUGCUCAGACCCUCAGCACCCAUGUAGAGCCAGGCAUGACCCUGAAUACCUGUAGCCCCAGCUCUGGCUGGUAGAAACAGGGGAUUCACUAGGGCUUGGUGGCCAUGCAGUCUAGCCAAAAAAUGGCAAGCUCCAGGUUUAAUGGGAGGCCCCUGUCUCAACAG